CGAAUCUGCCGAAUCGGCUAAUCCGGGAAUAAUAGAGGUUAUUCCAAAUCUGCCGAUGAAUCGACUAAUCCGGGAAUAAUAUUAGAGGUUAUUCCGAAUCUGCCGAUAAAUCGGCUAAUCCGGGAAUAAUAGAGGUUAUUCCAAAUCUGCCAAUGAAUCGGCUAAUCCGGGAAUAAUAGAGGUUAUUCCGAAUCUGCCGAUGAAUCGGCUAAUCCGGGAAUAACAGUGAAGAAGAUUACUCCGAAUCCACUGAUAACUCAGCUAAUUCGGAAUAGUGAAGAGAAGUGGAGGGUUGGAAGGAUUAACGUUUAAUGUUUAACCGAGAAACUUCCCGUACACAAAAAUGUAUUAAAAAAAGGAACCGACAUGUAUGUAUAUACAUAUAUAUAUGUGCACAGGACUUACUACUUUAUAAGUUCUUGGAAUUAUCCCCAAAAUGGAUGUGGGUCUCGUCGGUAGGUGAGUCGGGGCGACUGAUGUUUCGUCGGAUCUCUCGCACUGACUCUAAACGUGGAAUCGUGACUCGAAACGAAUGGAACCACGAUUAUAAUACCGAACAAUAAACGCGAUUUAUAUAGGAAGGUUCGAAGGAUGGAAAGGGUGGAUUUCGUGUGGGAUGUGUCUGGUUUUUGUUUAAAGGAUUUCUGGUUGGCGGGAUGUUUCUAAUUAUUAUUUAAGAGAUUUCUUAUUGGGCGAGAUGUUUCUCACCCAAGAGAUAAAUUUUAAGUUUUCGCCUAUCCUAGAAAGCUAGAGACGGUUAUCGAUUUUUCCGGUUUUCCAUUGGUGAGCCCUCUCGUAAGGCCCCCACUGUCUUAUUGGGGGUGUAACCCAUCGGUUCUUCCAGUGACGCAUUUGCUUUUCGGCAUUCGCCGAUUUCUCUUUUAUUAAGGUUCUUCAUUUAUCUCGCGACCCUGUUUUUAUGUCGACAGCUAGACGAUGCAUACUUCUCAAUCUUGAUAGUAGGUACAAGGCAAACAGAACUUCCGCCACGUGUAUUUACAGACGCGUCCUAGACUUUGUCUCUGUUUGUCGGAAACAUCGUACGAGCAAUUUUAGAAAGCUCGCUCGAUGCAAUAAAGAUAUUCAUCAACUCUGUCUGGGAUUCAGGUCUUUUUGGCGCGUCGUGUCGCCGGGUUUAUAGUUAUAGGUCAGACAAGGUUGAUAGACAAAAUCCGAUCACGUAUGCCCCGUCUGUCAAUACUUUACUCUGGAAGGUUGCUUCGUCGCCUAUAGGCAAAUAGCUAUUAUAGUUGUAUAAAAAAAAAGGAAUGUGAGGAGAUCAAUGCUCAUUCGCUGAUCGAUAACCGUCCGUGCUCAGUUUAUUAUCCUACCUUAAGGGAUAUCUUAUAGUGCUUAAGAAUUUCCGCGAAAAAGGGAAAUCGUGAAAUCCGCAGAACGUAAUAACAAACAUAUACAUACAUUUUUUAGAAGAACAAUGGAAGUUACUGGUUACCAUAACUGACAAGUUUUAUCCCAUUUUAAAAAUAUGGUUAUUCUUUUUACCUGCAAUAUCCGUUCGUCAUCCGAAUGAUUUAGAGACAAUAUUAAGCAGCACAAAACACAUUGAAAAGAGUCUUAUAUAUGAUGUUUUACAUCCGUGGUUGGGUACUAGUCUUCUCACUAGUAAAGGCGCCAAGUGGCAUUCACGACGAAAGAUAUUAACCCCCACAUUUCAUUUUAAUAUAUUGCAGCAUUUUAUUCAGAUUUUGAUCGAGGAAGGUGAAAACAUGACCAAAUCUUUGAAAAAUGCAGAAGGCACAGUUGUGAAAGAUUUAGUACCAUUUUUUAGUAAACAUACGCUGAAUGCAAUAUGUG